GGGCUGAGGUGGGCUGAGUGCCCACUUCCAGACUGGGCCACUGGCACCUCGAGGGCAUGGGGAGGACCCAGCGAUCCCCCCCCACCCAGGCAUAAAGAGCCACCCAAGGAGCUGGACACGGCCUCCUCGGAUGAGGAGAAUGAGGACGGAGACUUCACGGUGUACGAGUGCCCGGGCCUGGCCCCGACCGGGGAAAUGGAGGUGCGCAACCCUCUGUUCGACCACGCCGCACUGUCCGCGCCCCUGCCGGCCCCCAGCUCACCGCCUGCACUGCCAUGACCUGGAGGCAGACAGACGCCCACCUGCUCCCCGACCUCGAGGCCCCCGGGGAGGGGCAGGGCCUGGAGCUUCCCACUAAAAACAUGUUUUGAUGCUGUGUGCUU
rnacentral:lncRNA from 1 species